AAGGGCACCACAAGAACGCGUGGAGCAUGUGGCUUAAUUUGACUCAACGCGGGAAAUCUUACCGGGUCCGGACACACUGAGGAUUGACAGACAAAUACACACACUUUUACGGUGUGUGCAUGAAAUAUGCUAGUUCUUUCAUGAUUAUGUGAUAGGUGGUGCAUGGCCGUUCUUAGUUCGUGGAGUGAUCUGUCUGCUUAAUUGCGUUUCACUAAAGGCACAUACACAUAAUAUUGUUGUGUUGUGUAUAAUUUAUAAUUAUAUCGCAUACACACAUAUUAUAUUGUGCUUUGAAAGCAACGAACGUGACCGCAACCUCUUGUUGCCUGUAUAUAUGUGUAUUUUAUACACACCACAGGCUAUUAUAAACUAGAGGGACCGCUGUUACUUUCUUUUAAACCAGAGGAAGGUUGCGGCAAUAACAGGUCUGUGAUGCCCUUAGAUGUUCCGGGCUGCACACGUGCUACAAUGAUCAUUGCAGUGCGCAUCUCAUUUUGUUAUACACUGCUUGUGCGUAUGUGCACCAUAUAUUUAUAUGUGUGUGUAUGUAUUGCACGCAGUAAAGCCUACUUCGAAAGUUGUGGGUAAUCAAUUUGAAGUAAUGAUUUCUCCAAAUAUAUACUGCACACUCAUAUACAGUGUCUUAUGUCCAUGAAAAUAUUUUAUUAUUUUUGUGUGUGCAUUCGAUGCUCGUAUGUGCAAUUGUCAAUUCAUGGUGGGGACAGACCAUUGUUAAUUGUUGGUCUCGGUCUUAACUAGGAAUGCCUUGUACGGGUCUUUGGUUCAACAAACCAUCCGGAAUACGUCCCUGCCCUUUGUACACACCGCCCGUCGCUCUUACCGAUGGACUUCUCUGUGAGUUUGAGGGACUGGAUUUUAUAUCUAUGGAAACUCAAACGAACAGUGUGGUCUAAAGGAAAGAGAAGUCGUAACAAGGCAUCG
rnacentral:rRNA from 1 species